AUAUUUUGUAUCUUCUUGUUGUUAAUUUAAUUUCGAUUGACUGCAUAUUCUUAGACAAAUAAUUUGUAUUUUGUUAAUGAUUUCUAUGUUAGGAGUAUAGUUAUAUUAUGAAACCAUAACCAUCAACUUGUUCCCAAUUCAGUUUUAUCUAACAAUGUUUCAAUUGUAGGCGUUUACACUCUUAUGAGAAAGAGGUUGAGAGGGAAGCAGCCAAAACGGCUGACAUGAAGGAGAAGGGUGCUGAUCCUUAUGAUCUUAAGCAACAGGAAAAUGUGUUGGCUGAAUCAAGGAUGAUGAUUCCUGACUGUUGCAAACGCCUUGAGUCCUCGCUAGCUGACCUAAAAGGAAUAUUGCUCGGAUCUAAGCUUCGGAAGCUAGCCCCAACCCAAAUUUAUAGCAUCAGCUUCAUCCAUCAUUAUACAGCCAAAAAGUUUCAAAAUUUUGAAAUCUUUUGCAAACCUUAAAAGAGACUGAUCAGAGCCAAGUGAAUUUGAAAUUUAUACCUUGGUAUGCACAUUAGUGGACUACAUUCGACAGGUUUAACUCUUUCAUUGAAUCUCGCACACAUUGCUGGGAAAAUCCGAAAAAUGUCCCUUUUAGACUCAACGAGAAUGUCUCCUUGACUUUUCAAUGCCACAAAAUGUCCCCUUGAACACAGGUGGCUACGCUGGUGUAUUAAGGUCGGAUGGCGGUAUAUAGGUCCAAUGAGAUCAUGUCACGUGUCCAAUAUAUAUUUAGUGACGCUGGCAUCCGAUGGUGUUUCUGCCGUUGAUGUCAUUGGCGGUUUAAACAGUUCGGUCGGUUCCAACUGUUUAUUUUAAUGAUUACAGCCUAUUAAGGAUGUUGGUGAAGUCAUACAAGUUUAUAAUUGUAAUAAACGCAUUCCCGCUUGGGGUUUUGGUGGGAAAGUAGAUGAUGGCCCUGUAUUGCAUUGUUUCAACCUGAGUGGAAAUGCUCGUAGCAGUGAGGAAGCAAGAGCAUUUAUAGGAAGAUAAAUCAAAAGGGAAACAAAGAAGCUGCUCUUCAUGUAAGUUAGUUUUGAUAUGUAGUG